rnacentral:misc_RNA from 1 species
UUUCUACUAUUUCGGUAUUUGUAUUUAUUCCAUUACACUUGCCGUAGCUCGCUAAAUACUCGGCUCUUUGAGCUCGGGCGCUAGAGCGCAACAAAUACCAAGUAAAGAAAUUUAUUUUGUACCGGAAAUCAAACGAUAGGGCAAAUAAAGUGCCAUGGAAAUCCAACAACUGGAAAUUCUGUGCAAGCAGUUGUAUGAAGCAACAGAUGCAAGCGUCCGUGCGGAUGCGGAAAAGAGACUUAUCACAUUUGUCAAUAGCCAGGACGCCCUUCCCAAGUGUCAGUUACUGCUGGACCGAGCUGAUUCAAGCUACGCCCAGCUACUUGCCGCAUCUACCCUCACAAAGCUGAUACAGGGGAUAACUCUUGGGCAGCGCAUUGAUAUUCGCAGCUAUGCUCUUAAUUACUUGGCAACCAUGCUUAAUUUGCAGCACUUCGUAGUGCAGGCACUUGUUACGCUUCUUGCUAAAAUCACAAAAUACGGUUGGUUUGAUUCAUACAAGGGCGAACUUGUCUUUCAGAACUUACUUGAGGAUGUCAAAAAAUUCUUACAGGGAUCCGUUGAGCAUUGCACUAUUGGCGUACAAAUCCUCUCACAGUUGGUGUCAGAAAUGAAUUCAAUCGUGGAAUUAGAUGCACAUUUAUCGUUUUCAAAAAACCGAAAAAUAGCUACAUCUUACCGAGAUCAGCAGCUGUAUGAUACUUUUUUACUAUCUUGCUCUCUUUUGAUAAAUGCGCGCGACAAUGCAAAGAACUUGAACUUUUUGGACGAGUCGCAACAAGCGUUAAUAUCCCAAGUCUUGCGGCUAACGAAGAACUGUCUAAGCUUUGACUUUAUUGGCAGCUCAACAGAUGAGUCGGCCGAUGAUAUGAAUAAUGUUCAGAUACCAACAGCUUGGCGUCCUGCAUUUCUUGACUCAAACACAUUGAAAUUAUUUUUCGAUUUAUAUCAAAUUCUGCCGAAUGGAUUGGCGAGUUACUCAUUGUCGUGCUUAGUACAAAUGACAUCUGUGCGUCGAUCACUGUUCAGUAACUCUGAGCGAACAAAGUUCCUGACCAACUUAGUGGAAGGUGUGAAAAACAUACUCACCAACUUGCAUGGUCUUAGCGAUCCAGAUAAUUACCAUGAGUUCUGUCGUUUGCUAGCGCGCCUGAAGUCCAAUUAUCAACUGGGCGAACUCAUAGCCGUUCCCUGUUACCCUGAAGCCAUUGAACUAAUAGCAAAGUUUACUGUGCAAUCGUUACAUAUGUGGCUCUUUGCUCCAAAUAGUGUGCAUUAUUUACUUACCCUUUGGCAGCGUAUGGUUGCUUCAGUACCAUAUGUUAAAUCACCGGAUCCGCAUUUACUUGGCACAUAUACACCUGAAGUGAUAAAGGCGUAUAUCGAAUCCCGCUUGGAUGCAGUGCCUUUAAUUGUUCGUGAUAAUAUGGAGGAUCCAUUAGAUGAUCUUUGUAUGGUUCAGCAGCAACUUGAACAGCUAUCUGUAAUCGAGCGUUGCGAGUACAACAAAACUUGCAACCUUCUGGUGCAGCAUUUUGAUCAAAAGGCGCGUGAGUACGAAAACCUCGUACAGACACUCAACGCAAACCCAAUAGAUGUAACUGUCCAUGAGCUGCAAUUGACUUGGUUGGUUUACAUGAUUGGAUCGGCGAUUGUGGGUCGACUUUCUGUAACAACCAGCGACGAACAUGACAAUAUGGAUGCAGAACUUGUAAUUCGUGUACUGCAACUGAUGAGUUUAACCGAUUCACGCCUACCUCAGACCGGUUGUGAGAAGCUGGAAUUGGCCAUUUUGAGCUUUUUAGAUCAGGUUCGAAAGAUGCAUAGCAGUGACCAGGCACAAAAGGCAACUGUCUAUAAGCGCCUUAGUGAAGUUUUUGGUCUAAAUGAUGAGCAAAUGCUGCUAAGUUUCAUUAAUCGUAAAAUUAUAACCAACCUUAAGUUCUGGGGCCGUUCUGAGCAAAUAAUUACAAAAACUUUAAUGUUACUAUCCGACCUCUCUGUCCACUUCAAUUCAGUGCGGAAAUUGGCACGCUUAGAGGAAGUUCAGUUCAUGUUAACACAUCACACAAGCGAACAUUUUCCUUUUCUUGGCACAAGCUCAUCUCUAAACGAAAUGCGUUGUCGCACCAUGUUUUACACUUCGCUUAGUCGCUUAUUAAUGUUUGAUUUGGGAGAGGAUGAAGAGCGUUUCUACAAUUUUUUGACACCACUAACAAAUCAGUUUGAAUCACUUGGAAAUGUGCUAAUGGACACAAAGUGUUUUCCUAAUGACGAAGUGAAGAAGACGAUUAUUGGCUUAGCUCGAGACUUGCGUGGGCUGGCAUUACCCCUUAACGCUCGUCUUCAGUAUACUAUGCUUUUCGAAUGGCUUUACUACACUGAUUAUUUACCCAUACUGCUUCGUGCGGUAGAACUGUGGGCUCACGAACCUGCCAUUACUACGCCCGUGCUAAAGCUGUUUGCUGAGUUAGUGCAUUGCCGUACACAGCGUUUAGCUGGCAACGUGUCUAGUCCAAUGGGUAUUUUGUUGUUUCGCGAGGCAUCAAAACUGAUUUGCAUUUAUGGCAAUCGUAUUCUGCAUCUAGAGGUAUCGGAUGAUCAACUAUAUCCAAUGAAAUUAAAGGGAAUAUCCAUUUGCUUUCUGAUAUUGAAAAAUGCACUUGGUGGAAACUAUGUCAACUGUGGGGUCUUUAAACUAUACGGUGAUGAUACAUUACACAACGUUCUUGACAUCAUGGCCAAACUUAUUCUUUCUAUACGACAAAGUGAUUUAUUGGAAUACCCAAAAUUGGCCUCGGCUUAUUACAAUUUAUUAAACUGUCUAUCUCAAGAUCAUGUUACAUACCUUGUCGCUUUAGAGCCACGAGCGUUUGUCUACAUUUUGGAAAGUCUGACAAAGGGCCUUGCCGCACUAGAUUCGGCAAUUUACAUCAGCUGUUGCACGAUAUUGGAUAGUAUUGUCUCAUACAUCUUUAAGCAGCUUCAAUUAAAAGUUUCAACAUUCCCUAAUAAGAAGCUGAGAAGUUUGACACGAGAGAAUUCACAAUUUCUGAAGGUAGUGGAAUUGAAUUCCGAACUGCUACAGAACAUGAUGUCCUCUUUGUUAAAUAAUGUACUUGCUGAGGACUGUCGGAACCAAUGGUCCAUGUCCCGUCCGUUAUUGGUACUUAUACUUCUCUAUGAAGACUAUUAUCGAUCACUAAAAGAAAGCAUUAUUCGUGGACAACCAGUUGAAAAACAGCAGACAAUGGCUCAGUGGUUCGAAGAUCUGAUGCUAGGAAUAGAACGGAAUGUAUCCAGUAAAAAUAAGGAAAAGUUUACACAAAAUCUUUCGACUUUUCGCCGUGAUGUAGUGAACCUACCAAAGUCGACCACGUAUUCAACAGAUCCUGAUCAGUUUGGUUGCUAGCCAAAACUGCAUCUGCAUGAAACACAUUGCACCAAUUGGCAUAUUUCAUUAAAAACUUGGGCCAAUCAAUCCGGAAAAUUCGUACCAGGUGUUUACGGAAUCGAAUUACUCCAUAUCGGUAUAAAUGUCGGAAC